rnacentral:snoRNA from 1 species
UUGUAAAUGAAUCAAUAUAAAAAUCACCCUUUUUCCGAUGUGCCCGAUGAAUCACUGGAGGUAAAUUAGCAGUGUGGCUACUCUAGCCAUUGCUGUCAGUCACCUCCACACAUUG